UUCGGCAGGCGGCCGUGUGCGCGGGGGCUUCUGGGCGAUGUAGUUCGCCAUGCGUCUACCUAGAACGGCGACGGUGGCCGGUGUGGACUUCUACUCCCAGUGUACCGUGCGCGCAAGAGGCGAGCGCGGUGAAGCGUUUGCCCUCAUCCCCCCCUCCCUCCCGCGUCUUGCUAUAUGAAGCGCCGUCGCUGCGGUGAGAAGAACAGUUGGAGUCUUAAAGGAUGUUGUUUCAGUCCUGUUGCUAAGAUGGAAGCCUACAUAAUAGGAAAUAUCGAAAAGGAUGGCACCGUCCUGCACAGCCAUAUUCACUCAAGCUGAAUGGUUGACAAUCAACACAGAACGGUGGGGUUCAAGAAUCAGGUGCCUGAUUUUCAAUAUAAAGACAGCUUUCGCCUUUGUGAUUAUGGUAAAAGAAAGUAAAAGAUUUUGGAAUAUUGCUCGAUGAUCUACAAUCUAUUUCAUUAUGAUUUUCUACCGGUCCAAAUUCCAAAGAAUAAAAAUUAUGUUACAAAUAUACCAAUACAUGUGCUUCUACAAAAAAUGAUCUAUUUCUUUUUGACAAAUAUCAACAAUAUAAUAUAUCUGUUUUAUAAUUUAACUGGACUGGAGACAGAAUAAACUGUAGAUGUUGGGAAAUUUGAGCAAUUCAUAAAGUGCUGGAGGAACUCACCAGGACAGGUGGCAUCUGUGGAGGGAAUGGACAGAUAACAUUGUGUGUCAGGACCCGUUUUCAGAAUCGUAGGACUAUAGCAACUGCCCAAUAAUACUGCUGAUGAAAGAAGUUUACAAAGCUUUUAAAUGGAUGAUUUCUAGAAGCCCGAAGUAAUAAGAAAACAUAUUUUUUUACACAAAUAAAUAGUAAACUAGCAUUUGAAAGAGCAGAUGGUAUAGACAGGAAUAAAAACUGAUGUCCAAUAUAUUGGACACAAAUAUAUUAUAGUUCCCGACUGCCACAAGGUCGAAAUCCUAGAAAUUGCUCUAACACCAUUGAGUUAUACCUACACCUCAGACUGCAGUGAUUCAAGAAAAAGCUUGUGAUCAUCUUCGUAAGGCCAAUUAGGGGUAGGAAAAUUGAAUGCUGGCUGAAUCUGCAAGGCUCGCAUCCUUUGAAUGAAUAACUAAAAAUAUAUAUUUGUGGGGCAACAGUUGCUCCAAAUGUUGAGAAUUUGUAAAGGAUAAGUGUUCAGCUGUCAACUGAUCAUGUAGAUUUAGAUAGGAACAUGGAAGUACAAGGAAGAGGAUGAUAUGGAUCAUAUACAGGCAGACAAAUUCAGUUUAACUUGGCAUUAUUUUCGGCAUGAAUUUUGUGAGCCAAAAGGCCCGUUCCUGUGCUGUACCGUUCUACAGUGAGGUCUCAUUUGCAGAGAGUAACCUUGUGGGGCAAGAGUUUAGGAGGGAGCAUGGAUUCAAUCUCAGCAUUCUAGCUUAAAAUCCGUCUUUGUGAGAUAAGACAUUCACAUACAAGAAGUAAUGUGCAUAGAGUAUUUUAUAACAUUGUAAUUGUUCAUCAUCAAUUUCCAGGAGAAAAGCAAUAGGUUGAAAGUUUAUCCUGGGACAAGGUACCACAUCAGUCAUCCCUUGGGUAUAGCUUUUCACACAGAUGACCAAACAGUGGCAAUUUAUGGUUCAAGUCUAGCUCACAAAACUUCUACAGUUCAAGUUUGACCCUCAGAACUUCACACUCUCUUUGACUCUGUAUCUUUAACAGAUGUGAAUCUGGGAGCUGUGGUGUCCAGUAUAUAAUGCUCAACUCAGAAAGCUGGUCAUUAAAAUAUCCAUUAUGUGUAGAAUUGUGGGACUGUGAGAUCGGAAGAUCACAAUUAGAUGAUAGUCAGCAGGUGUGGUGAAUACGUGUUAUGCUUGCAACCUCCCUGCAAAGUACUUCUGCAGAACACAGGGCUUAUGUGGUAUGUUCACUACCCAUAUAAUGGAAUUGCUGGUAAUCCUACCUUAACUUUGUGGAUAAAAAUGACAUAAUGCAGAUCUGAAGAAGAAAACAUUUCUAAGCCAAAUAGGUAAAACAAUUUUGCAUUUUCUGCUCUGGUUGGCAAUUCUGCAUAGCAUUGCCAACUCAAUGCACAGUGAGCAAUUUGAAACUCCACAUGUUUUCAUCGGAAUAUCCUCCUAGAUAAGAAUUAAGAUCAGCCAACAGGCACUAAUUUCUGGAUUCAGUAGAGACUGGAAUAACAAUUGAAGUGAGUUGUGUUAGUUCAUGAAAUAUUUCCCAUUCCAACUGCCUAUGUUCUGAAUUUGUCAAGUUUGUUGCAGGAGUAGUACUCGUGAAACAAAUGAUUGACUCGUGAAACAAAUUCCAAUGUCCGAAGGACCUACACAAUUCUUAGAUUCUGUUAAUGCCUUUAGAUUAAGCAGUUACUCUUCUUCUGACAAGGCCCCUGGGGACAGAGGGUGACUUGGUUCCACUCAGAUUUUCUUGGGUUAUGAGGUGGUAGCCAGAGUAGGCAGGAGGGUAAUUUGUGACCUGGAGAGCUCCUGUAAUUUGCGCUAGGCUUUUGCGUGCUCCGGAUGCAUGUCCAUAUGAUUCUCAACACCAUUCCAAUGGUUGAGAGAUAGGGAUGAGGAACUUCAUGUUCUUCAAGCAAGUUUUAAACAUAUUCUCGAUUUUCUUUCUAUUAGCCAUGUUUUGUGUGUUAUAUAAAUUAUAUAAUGCAAUCACAGUGCCCUCCAUAAAGUUUGGGACAAAGACCCAUCAUUUAUUUAUUUGCCUCUACUCCACAAUUUGAGAUUUGUAAUAGAAAAAAUCACGUGGUUAAAGUGCACAUUGUCAGAUUUUAAUAACGGCCAUUUUUGUACAUUUUGGUCUCACCAUGUAGAAAUGACAGCAGUAUUUAUACAUAGUCCCCCAUUUCAGGGCACCAUAAUGUUUGGGACACAGCAAUGUCAUGUAAAUGAAAGUAGUCGUGUU